rnacentral:rRNA from 1 species
GUUCCUACGGGACGCAGCAGUGAGGAAUAUUGGUCAAUGGGCUUACGCCUGAACCAGCCAAGUCGCGUGAGGGAGGACGGUCCUAUGGAUUGUAAACCUCUUUUGCCGGGGAGCAAAAAGCGGUACGUGUACCGCAUCGAGAGUACCCGGAGAAAAAGCAUCGGCUAACUCCGUGCCAGCAGCCGCGGUAAUACGGAGGAUGCGAGCGUUAUCCGGAUUUAUUGGGUUUAAAGGGUGCGCAGGCGGCGAGUUAAGUCAGCGGUAAAAUUUCGGGGCUCAACCCCGACGAGCCGUUGAAACUGGCU